AGUGAACGCUGGCGGUAGGCCUAACACAUGCAAGUCGAACGGCAGCACAGUAAGAGCUUGCUCUUACGGGUGGCGAGUGGCGGACGGGUGAGGAAUACAUCGGAAUCUACUUUUUCGUGGGGGAUAACGUAGGGAAACUUACGCUAAUACCGCAUACGACCUACGGGUGAAAGCAGGGGAUCUUCGGACCUUGCGCGAUUGAAUGAGCCGAUGUCGGAUUAGCUAGUUGGCGGGGUAAAGGCCCACCAAGGCGACGAUCCGUAGCUGGUCUGAGAGGAUGAUCGGCCACACUGGAACUGAGACACGGUCCAGCCUCCUACGGAAGGCAGCAGUGGGAAAUAUUGGACAAUGGGCGCAAGCCUGAUCCAGCCAUACCGCGGGGGUGAAGAAGGCCUUCGGGUUGUAAAGCCCUUUUGUUGGGAAAGAAAAGCGGCAGGUUAAUACCCCGCUGUUCUGACGGUACCCAAAGAAUAAGCACCGGCUAACUUCGU
rnacentral:rRNA from 1 species